GGCUCAGGAUGAACGCUAGCUACAGGCUUAACACAUGCAAGUCGAGGGGCAGCAGGAAUCUAGCUUGCUAGAUUUGCUGGCGACCGGCGCACGGGUGAGUAACGCGUAUCCAACCUUCCCCAUAGUAGAGGAUAGCCCGGCGAAAGUCGGAUUAAUACUCUAUGUUGUAUUUUGAGGACAUCUGACGAAUACCAAAGAUUGAUCGCUAUGGGAUGGGGAUGCGUCUGAUUAGGUUGUUGGCGGGGUAACGGCCCACCAAGCCGACGAUCAGUAGGGGUUCUGAGAGGAAGGUCCCCCACAUUGGUACUGAGACACGGACCAAACUCCUACGGGAGGCAGCAGUGAGGAAUAUUGGUCAAUGGGCGAGAGCCUGAACCAGCCAAGUAGCGUGCAAGGAUGACUGCCCUAUGGGUUGUAAACUGCUUUUAUAGGGGAAUAAAGUCCACUACGUGUAGUGGUUUGUAUGUACCCUAUGAAUAAGGACCGGCUAAUUCCGUGCCAGCAGCUGC
rnacentral:rRNA from 1 species